rnacentral:rRNA from 1 species
GAUGAACGCUAGCGGCAGGCCUAAUACAUGCAAGUCGAACGGUGUAGCAAUACACAGUGGCGCACGGGUGCGUAACACGUAUGCAACCUACCUUACAUUGGGGGAUAGCCUUUCGAACGGGAGAUUAAUACCGCAUAAGACAGUAACAUGGCAUCAUGUAGCUGUUAAAGAUUUAUCGAUGUAAGCUGGGCAUGCGUCCAAUUAGUUAGUUGGUGAGGUAACGGCUCACCAAGACGAUGAUUGGUAGGGGAACUGAGAGGUCAAUCCCCCACACUGGCACUGAGAUACGGGCCAGACUCCUACGGGAGGCAGCAGUAGGGAAUAUUGGGCAAUGGGCGCAAGCCUGACCCAGCCAUGCCGCGUGCAGGAAGAAGGCGUUCUGCGUUGUAAACUGCUUUUAUAUAGGAAGAAACGACCCUUGCGAGGGGCAUUGACGGUAUUAUAUGAAUAAGCACCGGCUAACUCCGUGCCAGCCGCCGCAGUAAUAC